AUCGCGUCUCUAUUGAGCCUCGGAACAGUGUUACGCGAAGGAAUCAUUCGUGGCGGACAGGUGACUCUUCCAGCUCUAUCCUGUACGCGCACACCGGAUGUAUAUAUUUUUAAGCGCGACGAGGCACCGUUCACCAUCGAACAACUGCAGUUUGAGAGAAAAAGUGGCAGUUUAAGUGAUAAAUUCUUUGAUUUACGAGACUGAUAUAGAAGAAGCAAUUCAGAAUGUUGUGCCUUUAACAUAGUUCAUUCUAUAUUAUUAUCUUCUUAUUCUUAUAGUUAUUAUAAAAUAAUUUGUAGAAAUCAUUUUCUAUAGAUCGCUUUAUACAUUUUGUAUUUGAUGUGGAAUUUUUUAAUAAAGUCGUUAUAAACUCGA